rnacentral:rRNA from 1 species
UGGGGAAUAUUGCGCAAUGGGCGAAAGCCUGACGCAGCGACGCCGUGUGGGUGAUGAAGGCCUUCGGGUCGUAAAGCCCUGUCGGGUGGAACGAAUUUCCAUCAUGCGAAUAGUGGGAUGGAUUGACGGUACCACCGAAGGAAGCCCCGGCUAACUACGUGCCAGCAGCCGCGGUAAUACGUAGGGGGCGAGCGUUGUUCGGAUUUACUGGGCGUAAAGAGCGCGUAAGUGGUCCGAUAAGUCGGAGGUGAAAUCCCUCGGCUCAACCGAGGACCCGCGUCCGAUACUGUUGGACUUGAGUGCAGGAGAGGAGAGCGGAAUUCCCAGUGUAGCGGUGAAAUGCGUAGAUAUUGGGAGGAACACCGGUGGCGAAGGCGGCUCUCUGGACUGCUACUGACACUGAGGCGCGAAAGCUAGGGGAGCAAACGG